rnacentral:ncRNA from 1 species
CCCACCGCUUACGCGGUGGGCCAUUGCAUGGCGUCGCUGCGCGACU